rnacentral:rRNA from 1 species
CAUGCAGUCGAACGAUGAAGCUCCAGCUUGCUGGAGUGGAUUAGUGGCGAACGGGUGAGUAACACGUGAGCAACCUGCCCCGAACUUCGGGAUAACAGUUGGAAACAGCUGCUAAUACCGAAUAUGCACCAGAACGGCAUCGUUACUGGUGGGAAAGAUUUAUCGGUUCGGGAGGGGCUCGCGGCCUAUCAGCUUGUUGGUGAGGUAAUGGCUCACCAAGGCGUCGACGGGUAGCCGGCCUGAGAGGGUGACCGGCCACACUGGGACUGAGACACGGCCCAGACUCCUACGGGAGGCAGCAGUGGGGAAUAUUGCACAAUGGGCGCAAGCCUGAUGCAGCAACGCCGCGUGAGGGACGACGGCCUUCGGGUUGUAAACCUCUUUUAGUAGGGAAGAAGCCUUCGGGUGACGGUACCUGCAGAAAAAGCGCCGGCUAACUACGUGCCAGCAGCCGCGGUAAUACGUAGGGCGCAAGCGUUAUCCGGAAUUAUUGGGCGUAAAGAGCUCGUAGGCGGUUUGUCACGUCUGCUGUGAAAACUGGAGGCUCAACCUCCAGCCUGCAGUGGGUACGGGCAGACUAGAGUGCGGUAGGGGAGAUUGGAAUUCCUGGUGUAGCGGUGGAAUGCGCAGAUAUCAGGAGGAACACCGAUGGCGAAGGCAGAUCUCUGGGCCGUAACUGACGCUGAGGAGCGAAAGAGUGGGGAGCAAACAGGCUUAGAUACCCUGGUAGUCCACUCCGUAAACGUUGGGAACUAGUUGUGGGGGCCUUUCCACGGUCUCCGUGACGCAGCUAACGCAUUAAGUUCCCCGCCUGGGGAGUACGGCCGCAAGGCUAAAACUCAAAGGAAUUGACGGGGACCCGCACAAGCGGCGGAGCAUGCGGAUUAAUUCGAUGCAACGCGAAGAACCUUACCAAGGCUUGACAUAUACCGGAAACGGCUGGAGACAGUCGCCCCCUUGUGGUCGGUAUACAUGUUGGUUGCAUGGUUGUCGUCAGCUCGUGUCGUGAGAUGUUGGGGUUAAGUCCCGC